CAGCCUACAUGCCUCCUCCGCCGUAUACAGCUCCGAUGAACCACGCUCCUCCGGAACCAGACCUGCCCAGAACCCCCGCAGCGGAGGCAAAAGCAGCUGAAGCUGCAGCGAGUUCCAGCGCGACUACGUUUGCUCCGACACGGGUCUACCUGCCCGAGGACAAGCCUCCACCCUACUCCCCACCUGAAGACAAGAAGAACCAGUAGACGUGUCUGCAGCGAGCGCAAAUCCUCUCCUCUCUCUGCAUUCCCUUCAUCUCAUCCUCUCAUCACCUGCUGGCACAGACUCCCCGUGAGGCUGCACGCAGUGACGGGGGGCUCCAGAAGGGGGCUCUGGCCAAUGUAGAGGGACCAGAGAGAGACACACAUGAAUUCAUAGCUGGUGAAUGAGAGGGACCGACUGUUAGCUGAUUGAGCUUUUCUAAAUUUGAAAAAUUUAGUCUAUUUAGGAGACAUUUAUGAGUGAUUUUGUAUAGAUCGAUUGAAUGCGGUUUGAAGUAUUUUGAUAGCAUAAGAGUUUUGGACAGUGCUUCGGUCGUCGUUCAUUCUCGACUGCUGCAUCCAACGUUAUUAAAUGAAAGAUUGUUGGCUGUCACUGCUCACUUGUCAUUCCACACUCAAGCAGUCGCUUAAAGGGACAGUUCACCUUCAGUUGCAAGUCCCCGUUAACUUCCAUUGUAUGGGAAAGAAGAAAAAAAACCACUAUGCAAGUCAGUGGGGACCAGCAACUGAAGGUGAA